rnacentral:pre_miRNA from 1 species
CACCGUAAGGAGAUAAAGCUGCCAGCAUGAUCUGAUCUUUCCCCUCAUAAGAAGCCAAUCAGAUCAUCUGGCAGUUUCAUCUGCUGAUGGG